rnacentral:rRNA from 1 species
GACGAACGCUGGCGGCGUGCUUAACACAUGCAAGUCGAACGAAGUGGCGAACGGGUGAGUAAUACGUGGGUAACCUGCCCUCCUUUUUGGGAUAAGCCUUGGAAACGGGGUCUAAUACCGAAUAAAGGGGGAUGGGCUCGCGGCCUAUCAGCUUGUUGGUGGGGUGAUGGCCUACCAAGGCGGUGACGGGUAGCCGGCCUGAGAGGGUGAUCGGCAACAUUGGGACUGAGAUACGGCCCAGGCUCCUACGGGAGGGCGCAGUGGGGGAUAUUGCGCAAUGGGCGAGAGCCUGAUGCAGCGACGCCGCGUGGGUGAUGGAGGCUUUCGGGUUGUAAACCUCUUUCGCUCUCGAACGGGUAGGUGGAGAAGAAGCGCCGGCUAACUACGUGCCAGCAGCCGCGGUAAUUC